rnacentral:rRNA from 1 species
CCUGACCUCGAUUCGAGCGUGAAUACCGCUGAAC